UACGAAGGGUGCAAGCGUUACUCGGAAUUACUGGGCGUAAAGCGUGCGUAGGUGGUUUGUUAAGUCUGAUGUGAAAGCCCUGGGCUCAACCUGGGAACUGCAUUGGAAACUGGCUGACUAGAGUGCGGUAGAGGGGUGUGGGAAUUCCCGGUGUAGCAGUGAAAUGCGUAGAUAUCGGGAGGAACAUCUGUGGCGAAGGCGACACCCUGGACCAGCACUGACACUGAGGCACGAAAGCGUGGGGAGCAAACAGG
rnacentral:rRNA from 1 species